rnacentral:tRNA from 1 species
GAGGGUAUAGCUCCGUGGUAGAGUGCAUGCUUAGCAUGCAUGAGGUCCUGGGUUCAAUUCCCAGUACCUCCU